ACAGUUUUUUGAAUUUCAGACAAAAUCCGGUUCAUCUGGUUCUACUGUCUCUAAACCUCGUGGCCGUCCAAGUAAAAGUUCGCAAUCAAAAGCUGAUGCUACAAACAUACUCACGGGAGACUCACGAGGUUCAGUUCAUUACAUGAUCAACCCUGACGUGAUACAAAAGAUGCAACCCAAAGCUCACCGGAGCAAUGAAAACCUCAUUCCAAACCAAGCUAUUGACGUCGUUACGAAAGACCCAGCGUUUGAUUUGCGACAAGCAGAGUGUCAUCUACCAAAAGAUAAACUCGCAAUUCGAGCAGCAAUCCUUCAGGAUGUUGUGGAAAUGGAAUCUUUGUUAAAAGAAGCAACUAACCUGCCACAAGUAACUACUUUAUUUUAU